AGUGAACGCUGGCGGCGUGCUUAAUACAUGCAAGUCGAACGCGAAAGUCCUUCGGGAUGAGUAAAGUGGCGCACGGGUGAGUAAUAGAUGGGAACAUGCCUUGAGGUGGGGAAGUAACUGUUGGAAACGACAGCUAAUACCGCAUGGUAUCGCAAGAUUAAAGGUGGCCUCUGCAUAUGCUACCGCCACAAGAUUGGCCCAUCUCCCAUUAGCUAGUUGGCAGGGUAACGGCCUACCAAGGCAACGAUGGGUAACUGGUCUGAGAGGAUGAUCAGUCACACUGGAACUGAGACACGGUCCAGACUCCUACGGAGGCAGCAGUAGGGAAUAUUGCACAAUGGGGGGAAACCCUGAUGCAGCAACGCCGCGUGAGUGAAGAAGGCCUGGUGUAAGCUCUUUAGCCUGG
rnacentral:rRNA from 1 species